rnacentral:rRNA from 1 species
CCUACGGUGUGCAGCAGUGAGGAAUAUUGGUCAAUGGGCUUACGCCUGAACCAGCCAAGUCGCGUGAGGGAAGACUGCCCUAUGGGUUGUAAACCUCUUUUGUCAGGGAGCAACGCCGGCUACGUGUAGCCGGACUGAGAGUACCUGAAGAAAAAGCAUCGGCUAACUCCGUGCCAGCAGCCGCGGUAAUACGGAGGAUGCGAGCGUUAUCCGGAUUUAUGGGGUUUAAAGGGUGCGUAGGCGGAAGGCCAAGUCAGCGGUAAAAUCGCGGGGCUAAACCUCGCUCCGCCGUUGAAACUGGUGUUCGUGAGUGGGCGAGAAGUAUGCGAAAUGCGUGGGGUAGCGGUGAAAUGCAUAGAUAUC